UACUAUCAUCAUUAUCUUACUCUUUUUAUGAGGAAAAUAAGGAACUAAGGGAAGUGUUUGAACAUUGACCAGCCACCUUGUGGAUCCACAUGUUUGUAGUAUCAUAGAUAUGUAAUAUUUACAAACAUAUCUUACAAGUGUGAGAAAGCGAUAGAAACUAAUAUCACAAAAACACAGUCAAUGCAACUGGAAUUAAAACAGAAAAAACAGUAUUAUGAAUCUCAGACAAAGCAGAGAUUGUUCUAUUCUGAGAGGAUGAGAGCACACAAAAAGAAAGUACUUGAGUUUUGAAUAAACUGGCAGUGACACAAGAACUAAUGGAAGCAAAAACUACCUGGGAAGAAGCAAAGGACAAGUGUAUGAGGAGAGAGAUUUUUAAAAGCAAUGCUUUGUUAUUAUGGUGAUAUGUUUCUCCAAAUUUUUAGUUGGCGAUUCCAAACUGAUAGCUAAUGACAUUGAUUAUGUGGACCAGAGAUUAAAUGAAAUCAAUCAUAAAAUAACCGAAAAAGUUGACCAAAAGAAGCAAACAGAGAAAGGCAUUCAAACAAUGAGAAAUGAGAUCCAAGGUCUGACAGAAAGCAAUAAUAAGCUGGUGAAUCAACUUGAAGUAUUGCGCAAGAGGCGACAGGCUCGUCUAGUGAGAAGGAGACACCAGUCCAUGAGGGAAGACAAAGGAAC